UUUGGUCUAAAAUUCAUUUAAACUUCAGAUUAAACAAGUCCUACUAAAGUUUAUCUACUUUAAUUUAAAUUACUAUUUUCAAAUAUAAUCCGUUCUAUUAUGGAUUAUUCAAAUCGAUCCUUUGAGUUAUAUUUUUUUUUACCAACUUUACUACUAGUUAAAUUAAUAAAUAAUAAUAGAAUCUAAAAAUAGCACUUUUUCGGACGGUACAAACCAGAGCUGACUCAAUGCUUAUCCACUACUUGCAAGUUUGGAAAAUGAUACUGAUGAUUACCCGUUUCCUCCAUAGAAUGGGAAUGGAAUAAGUUAGCUUUUCUUUAGGGAGGCCCUCGUAAACAUCUCUCUAAUGUUGUGUGAUUCUGUCUCCAAUUUUACCUUCUUCGCUUGUCUACCUUUCUUUGCAGUUGUACCCUUCUUAUCUUGCUGUUGUUCCUGAUAAUUAGUAGUACACAAAUUAAUUCAAAACGAAUAACAAAUCCAGACUCAUUCUUUUUUGGUCCCAGCAAAUACCUGUAAUUCGUUACAUAAACCUGUGUUACUUCCUUCAGCAUUUACUUAUACUUUUCCAGUAACCUCGAGUAUAUUUAACCUGCAAAACAAAAAUCUUCUUAAGGAAUAUAUCUUAAGAAUCCUAUUUCAACCCCUCAAUGGUUUCUCUUCCAUGUUAUCACCACAAGGAAUAUACAGGUCAAAUCUUUAAAACAAGACAUUAUAAAAGGCUAUACUUAAGAUGGUUACACAAAAGCUCCAACCAAGGCUUUUCCUUGAAAUACUCUCCUAAUAUAGAGACUACAUCAAUCACUGCAUCACACAAGAGCGUUAAUGCACAGCAAAACAGUGAAAGAAAAAGACCAGGUAUGCAUGAUUUAAAGUAUUAAGAAAAGCAUCCGAUUAUUAUCAAGGAUGGUAUUGUUGCUUCAGUUAUUUAAAUACAAGAUUACAAUGAAGCAUCAACAUAGAUGUGUAUUUAGCUCAUGCAACAAUCCAGAAUGACAGAACUGUAUUCUUAAUUGGUAAUCCCUCAAAUAAGAGGGGAGAACAGUAACCAUUAGUAUGUUUUCAGAUAAUAAGAAUAUAGAUAGCCUAUUAACAAAAAGGACAAGAUUUUCAAAAAAAAAUUAAGUGUUGGUUAGAAGUACAAGAACAUGGCAUAGGCAGAGCAGGAACAAAAAUAUUAUUUUUUUAAGUAGAAGUAAAAAAUAUUUCCAGACAAGAGAUAAAUGAGAGAAAGAAAUGUACCUCACGCAAUAUAAACAUGAAUAACAAUGCAAAAUGCAUACUUUACAAGAUAAUCAAACAUCUCUACUUUCAGUUAUAUAAUCUCCAAAAAAACAAGAUCCAUACAAGUUCUUAAACCACUGAAGUUCUUGAAGCAUUUCAUUUGCAAACAGAUACUGCGUUGCAUUUCCUAUCAAAGAAGCGAAAAUAUGUAAAAACUGAAAGAAAACGCACGAUCAAGAAGCCUUAAUAAAAGUCUAAUUCCUUGAGAAAGAUUGACUGCAAAAUUGAGUGUGAUACGAUGUUAUUAACAGAACUAACAAAUUUUAAUCAACACAUUAAGAAAUUGAGAUAGCAAAAUCAAAUAAAUAAUAUUUAUAUAAACAAGAAACAAAUAAAUUGAGAUGUAAAUUUACCAGGUGCGAUGAGAACCCGUGGUUCCUGAACCCCAUCACACCAAUUCAUAGGUUUAGCAGAAGAGGAUUCAAAAGCCCUAACACCACCAGUCACCGAUCGUUCCGUUCGCCGGUAACGGUAACUGCAAUUCUAACGGAAUAGUGUUAAUGUCACAAGUGAAUUGCAAUGUAGAAAGAACAAGAACACAGUAAAACUUACAUAUUUAGAGAAAAGAGAGUGUUUACAGGGAAGGUAACGAGGGAGGAGUUAGAGUGGCGUUGAAUCGCCAAGUGAAGUUCUCCUGGGAAUGUGAAACUCAAACAUAUUCGCGCCAUUAAAAUCACCCUUCUGCUUUUUUCCCUUCUCGGACACACGGGCCCUAUCUACACCAAUCGGACCAGGCCCAAUGGGCUUACUGUUGCUUCAACCGAGUCCAACUUUUAUUUAUAUAUUUAAUAAAGUGAUACUUAUCAUUCUUAUUUUUAAAUAAGUUUUUUUUAAUAUAUAAAACUGAUUUUAUUUUAUAAUUUAAAUUUUAUAUUAAAUUUGGCUACUCAUAUUUUUUUUUCAUAAGAGAAAUGCGUGAGCUGAUAAGUUGGCUAAUUUAGAAUUUAUUCAUAGAGAAUCAUUUUAUUGGUAUAAUAGGCUUCUAUCUAGUCUGUUCUUAGAAUUUUUUAUUAAUAGACAUAAUCUACCUAUGUAUCGAUUUUGUUAACAUAUGGGUUUUGGUCUAGUCUUCCCAUAUUUUUGUAUUUUCUUUGUUUUUUUAAUAAUACUUUUUUCAUGUUGUUCCUGCUAGGGAGAUGAUACCUAGAAAACUAUUUAAGUCUUUGUCUUCCUCCUUCGGUCGGGCAGGUUGCUGGGUGCUUGACUGGGGUCCUUCUUGUCUUCGUGUUUCUCCUUCAGCUCUCGGUCUCAAGGUGAACACUGAAUGGGGUACCUGCGGAAGACACUCUGACGCUCAAGUCAGUAAAGCAGGUGAUAGGUACUCAGGUAGGUGUACAGUAAUAAAUGACAUACCUUGCUCAUUGGAAUGUGUGCUAUUUAUAUUAUUUUAAUGAACUUACAUCAUUGGGGCCUGAUUAGUGGAGUGGAUCACUCUUAGGGUUGCAUUACCUAAUCCUUAAUGAUGAUUUAGCUUCACUAACCUUGGUUUGAGCGUUAAUGCUUAUACGUGUCGGUCGGCCAGGUUGACAAAGUCGUGCCAGCGUGUCUCGGUCAUCUCGGGCAGGAAGGCCGAGACAUGUCAUGGUGUCGGUCAGCCAUACCGGUACACAUGUGAUGACAAAUGAUUGUUGUUACUUUAGGUGUCAACCUAACUAAGAUGUCAAGUAGUACAGUGAUGCCUAAAAUCAGAACGGAAUGGAAGAAAAAUCCAUAACCUGUUAUUAGCAAGUUUUGUUGUAUCUUGUAUUGAAAUGACGACCAAACAAUCCAAAUGUAUAAACUUUAACUUGAUGAUCAUGUAAAUAAAACGUUUACAUAUUGUUUAUAGUGAUCAUAAUUUCACUGUCACAGUGUAGACAAAAAUAUAAGAUAUCGAAUUAAAUUAUAUAUAUAUAUAAUUUAUUGGAUAAGUUUAUUUUAAAGUUAAAAUUAAUAAAAAAAUAACAUAGUAAAACAAUUUUUUUAAAAUACAUCAUGGGCAUAGAAGUUAGACAGAUUAAUAGACUGACCUAAUGUCAUGUGCAGAACUAAUUAUAUGCAUACAAUUUCAUAUUUCUUAUUUUCUUAAAUUCAAAAUAAUUAAUAUCUAUUUAACGUUUUAUUUUUCUAAAAACGUUACACCUUUUUUAAGCAACUUUUUCAAUAAUUCCUCUCUAUAUAAUUAAGUGAAUGUAGAAACACUUUCAUUAAAAAAAAUCACAAAAGUUGUUAAAAGAAAUUAAAGAUGUUCCUAUUUAAAUUUAUAAUAAUAGAAUAUUUCUCUGUUAAUUUCAUAAUCUUAAAAGACCAUUAUUUUGGAAGAGAAUACUUUAAAUAUAUUAAAAAACAUAUUGAUAUAUAAACAACAUAUAUAAAUACUAUAUAGUGUGUCUUUUGAAAUACCUUUAAAAUUGACAGUUUUCAAUUGAGAAUGAGAAUGGAACAGUCACACAUUUAUAGUCUCUUAAUUAAAUAAUUUUCUUAUCAAAAAGAUAAAUCAUAAUAAAAAAAUAUGAUAUUAAAUAAUAUUUACAUAUAAUUAUAAUAUAUGUUAGUUUUGUAAAUAUUGAGAGUUAUGUUAAGAAUUUGAGUAAUGAAUAAUAAACUAAUUGAAUUGUUGAGAGAGAAAAUAUAAAAAAAUAGUAUAAUAAAGUAAGAGUUCUUUAGAUGAAAUAAAAUGACCGAAGAAAAAAUAGAAGAUAAAUUGUUUAGGCUAGUUAAUAAAGUUAGGGUUUUUUACGAAAAUAUUUUUGUUCAUAUUUAGAUAUUUAAUCUUAGCUUUUUCAGAUUAUAAUUGUGAAUAAAUCAAAUAUUUUAAUUAAAAUUUAUCUAAUUAAGUUUAUUUAACCUUAAACUAUAACUAUUAAUUAGUUUCAAAGUUUUAAUACAAUAAAGGGUCUCGUGAAAGAAUCAAUGCACUUGGAUUUUAUUAGUCAAAGUCUAGUUCACUUAUUUUAGAUAAAGUUGAAAACAAAUCCAAAGAAUCUGGAAAAUUCGAAACAAAAUUUAAGAAAAAAAUUGAAGAAUAAAAUAUACAAAAAAACUCACAAAAAUAAAAUCUACAAAUUUUAGAAAAAUAAUAUUGGAAACAAUAUCUGAAAUAGAAUUUGAAUUUGAAAUCUACAAGAAAAAGAAACUUAUAAAUGGAUACAAGUCAAAAGAAGAAAAAUCAUCACCCGACACUAAGUACAGAAGAUGUUUAGGUGGGUCACUUUCCUUUGUUCUUGUGACUUUCCUUAGUUUUUGUUUGUAAUCUCUUGUUUUGUCUUUUUAUGCAAGACUAAAUAUUUUUGUGUUGACUAUCUUGUAAUCUCACAUUGAAUUCAAAGAUUUUGUGUUAUUCAAAAUUUUUCUUCAAUUAAUAGAUUGUGCUAAAAAUUAUGGUCCUUUUUAAUUCUAAUUACUAUUGGAAUUAUUUUUGAAUGCUUGUUGAUAAUUUGAUUUCGUUUAUUUUGAACAAUCUCUUGUUUUCCUAAUUCAAAGUAAAAGACUAAAAAUCUCACAAGUAAAUGCUUGAAAAUUUGUGAACAUUUAUUUCAUUAAUCACAGUAUGUUGAAUUUGAUUGACGUUUGUUUAGUUAAAUUCAAUUAUCUUUUGAAUAUUUGAUGGAUGGUAACUACUAAAGAAAUCAAUGAUGAUCAAACUCAAUAACCAAUAUAUUUGUUAAUUCAUUUUAUUCUUAUUCUUUUUAAUUUCUCUUUAUAAUUAGCAUUUUCUACAAGUGAUAUAUGAAUCAUGUUUAACUAAGAUUAUAAUUGAAUUCAUUGGAAGAUGUUUUGGGUUGACUAACCCUAUUUAUACUUUAAUUUUGUUAACUUAUCAUACAAUAAAUGAUCUAUGUCAAAUACCAUAUAAUUCAAGACAGUACAUUACAUUGUUUACACUCAAACUCUUUUAUUUAAUUGAAAAUGACAACAACGAUUAGGUUUACACGAUUAAACAUUCAAAUGAUAAUCAAACACUUUCACAUAAGAAAUCAUAAACAAAUACAAAAUAAAUAAUUUAAUUUAAUACAAUUGAAGUUUAUGUUUUGUAAAAUACAAUGAUUAGAUAUGCACAAAAGAAAAAAUAUAUGAUUGAGGUUGUGGUGAAAGAGUAAGUGUAUUGAAAUCUAAGUAAACUUAGUAGAUAUAUAAUUAAUUGAAUAAUUGAAAAAGAAAUGGAAAAUUGUAUAGAAAGAAAGGAUAAAUAUCCUUUUUUUUUUCCAUAAAAGUUUAUGUAAUAUGUUUAGAAAAAAAAGUAUAUAUAUAUAUAUAUAUAUAUAAUUUUUUUUUUUAUAAUUAGUUAAUUUGUCAACCAUCAAGUCAACACAUGAUAGUUUACUUUUACUUUUAAAAUGAAUAGCCUUAACUCAGUAUAGGAUCAAUUAUUCCAUAUUUAAACUAAUAUCAUCAUAUUUGAACCUUUGACUCCUUUAUCAUUUAAUUAAAAGAUUAAAGUCUUGCUAAUUUAUCAACAACUUUAAUAAAUGUUUACACUUUGAAUCGUCUUAUUGAAUGUUAAAAUUAUAAAUUCUAUAUAGAUUGGUAAUUUACAAUUUAUAACUUCAUCAAAUUGAUGAUUGCUGUAUUUUUUCAUUCACCUUGGUAAGCUAAGUUUAAUGUUUAUUUAUUUAAUUUACUUUUUUAUAUUAUUAAUAAAAAUAAUGUUUUAUAAAAAGAAGCUUAUAUGAGAUACCCUGAUCCACGUAUAACUUACUCGGUUUUCCAUUCUUUAAUCACUUAACCAUGUUACUCGGUUUUACUAUUUCUCUUACAUUUAUUAAAAUAUUGAAUACUUUUAAGAUAUCAAAUAUAUUUGUGUAGUGAUAAUGAAGUCUAAGAAUAUAAACUAACCAAUCUUGGUCGGUUUAAGAAUAUUUGCUUAAUUAUUUAAUUUCUUAUAAAAUAUUAACAAAUUUAUUAAAAAAGGAUACCAUAUAAAAUUAUAAUAUAGGUCCAAGAAAUAACGAGAUGAAAGAAAAUAGAUCUUCUUAUCUAAAAAUUUGUAAGGUCGUAUUUAUUUUACUGAUUCUCAUUUUUCUUAUAUCUGAAAAAGAUGGGUCAGAAGAGAUAAGGGCUUUAAAAAAUGAUGAGGAUAUUAAAUCACUGGAGUGAUCUAUAGGACAAAAAUGAAUCAUGAUACUUUACUCAUCCAAAAAAACCUACUAAUUAGGAUUGAAAAAACCAACGGUAAGUAUGGAAAAAUUUGUGUCGGUCCAACUCGGACUCAUCAAACUAAAAAAUUAUAUUACUCAAUUUUUUUAAUAAAUAAAAUACUAAAAAAUAAUUCUAAAUUAAAAAAAUGUUUUCAAAGUUCAAGUUAAAUAAUUAAAAUUCUCAAUUUUAAAUAUAAUAGUUUAAUAAAAAAUUUAGUAUAUUUUUUAACAAAACAAUAUUACUAGUGAAUCCAAACAAAUGCAAUGAAUUAAAAAUCCAUAUGGACUCUAAUUAAUCAAAUAUAUUUGGAUUUUUUUUAAAUCCAUUUUGUUAAUUAGAUUAAAUUCACUUUGUCAAUUACAUUAAAUUCAUUUUGAUUUGGACACAGACUAACUUGGCUCGAAUUGGACCUAAGCCGACUCAACCAGGAUACGAACCAACUCGUCUCCACAUCAGCCCAGACCCAAACAACCCAAGCCCGAACGACUAGACAUCAACGAGGGACCGUUCAACUCGACAUUGACACGAGCUCGAACAAAUUGACAUUGACCCGGGCCCGGACAAAUCGACAUCAGUCUGGGCCCUAACGACUACAUGAACCCGUGCCCGAACAAAUCAACAUUAACCUCAACAGGGACGACUCAACAUCAACUCGGCCCCAAACAACUCGACAUCAGCCCGGCCCGAAUGACUCGACAUAGGCCCCGACCCGGACGACUCAAUAUCAACCCGGGCACAAACAACUCAACUUCGACCCGAGUCCGAAGGACUCGACAUCGGCCCAAGCCUACUCACCUCGACAUCAGCUCAGGCACACUCGCCUUGACAUCGCCCCGGGGCCGAACAACUCGACAUCGGCCUGAGCCCAGAUGACUCAACAUCAUCUCAAGCUCGCUCAACUCGACAUCGACUCGUGUUCGGACGACUUGACACUAAACCCGGGCCUUCUCAACCUGACAUCGGCUCGGGCCUAAACGACUCGACAUCAACCCAAGCCUUAACAAAUUAACAUUGACCCCGACCCAGACGACUUGACAUCGACCCUGUCCUGGAUGACUCGACAUCGACCCCGGCCCGGACAACUUGAUAUCAACCCGAGCCCGAAAAUCUCAACUUCAGCCCAGGUCCGAACGACUCGACAUCAACCAAUGCUCAAACGACUACAUUAACCCGAGCCCAAAGAAAUCAACAUCAACCUUGACACAGACGACUCAACAUCGAAUGGAUGACGAGUGUAUGACGUAACACAAGUAUAGAGCCACUGGAAAGAUAUGACCUGUGAAGGUUGCGUUCCAAGAACGAGUUGCAUGCAUGGCACGUGAACAGCUAGAACACUCCCAGAGGCGUGUGACCCUAGAGAUCAGGUGCACGAGGAGGCACCCAGGUGGUCACCCGCCAGAGGUUGCACUCCAGUUAGGGACCCCACGCACUAGGUUAUCCUAAGAGUAGGAUAACAAUAGUGAUAGGUCCACCCCAUCAAAAAAGCCCAUUUCGGGUAAAGAGGAAACUCUAGUUUCAAUUUAUAAACAGAAAGGUAAAAAAACUUGGCAAGGUACGCUAUUCAUUUUGCAUCGCUUAAACACAUACAUUUACAGUUACACAUUCAUUUUGCCCUAAUACUAACUUGAGCGUCAAAGUGCAAACGGUCUCUAGAGCGCCCUUUGUCUGUGUUUUCAGGCAUUCACCAUGCAAGAAAGACACAUGCAAUCACAAGGAUUAUGGAUGUGAGAGUGACGUAGACGCACGAAGGCAUUUUCGAUAACCGGUAGGAACACUAUUUUUUACUAUUUUUCUUAGAUUUAUUAAAAUAUUGAAUACUUCUAAGAUAUAAAAUAUAUUUGUGUAAUGAUAGUGAAGUCUAAGAAUAUAAACUAACCAAUCUUGGUCGGUUUAAGAAUAUUUGCUUAAUUAUUUAAUUUCUUAUAAAAUAUUAACAAAUUUAUUAAAAAAGGAUACCAUAUAAAAUUAUAAUAUAGGUCCAAGAAAUAACGAGAUGAAAGAAAAUAGAGCUUCUUAUCUAAAAAUUUGUAAGGUCGUAUCUUAAAUUCUAAAUUUUUCUUAUAAGAUAUACUAUAUUAAUUUUUAAAAGAAUGAGACUACAUUUAAUAAAAAUGUCACAAAGGGUUGCAUUCCAUAGCUAUCUGAAAAAGAUGGGUCAGAAGAGAUAAGGGCUUUAAAAAAUGAUGAGGAUAUCAAAUCACUGGGGUGAUCUAGUAGGACAAAAAUGACUCAUGAAUCAUGAUACUUUUCCCCUCAAUAAAAAAACUUCUAAUUAGGAUUGAAAAAACCAACGGUAAGUAUGGAAAAAUUUGUGUCGGUCCUACCCGGACUCAUCAAACUAAAAAAUUAUAUUAGUCAAAUUUUUAAUAAAUAAAAUAUACUAAAAAAUAAUUCUAAAUUAAAAAUAUGUUUUCAAAGUUCAAGUUAAAUAAUUAAAAUUCAAUUUCAAUUUUAAAUAUAAUAGUUUAAUAAAAAUUUAGUAUAGUUUUUAGCAAAACAAUAUUACAAGGGGGUGAUGAAUUGAAUUUUUAUUAAAUCCAUAUCCACUUUAACUAGAUCACAUAUAUUUAGAUUUUUUAAAAUCUAUAUUGUCAAUUACAUUAAAUUCAUUUUGAUAUGAACACAGAUUAACUUGGCUCAAACUGGACCUAAGCCGACUCAACCUGGACACGAACCAACUCGGCUCUACAUCGACCCAUAUCCAUACGGCUCGACAUCGGCACAGGCCUGGACAACUCGACAUCGACCUGGGCCUGGACGACUCGACAUCGAUACAACACCAAACAGGUUGACAACAGUUCAAACCCGAACAACUCGUCAUCAGAGCACCGAUGACUCAACAUUGGCCCGAGCCCAGAAGAUUCAACAUUGAUCCAAGCCCGAACAACUUGACAUUAGCGCGAGCCCAGACGACUCGAAAUCAAUUCGGGCCCAUACGACUCGACAUCGAUCCGGGCCUGGACGACUCAACAUUGGCUCAAACCCAAACGACUUGACAUCAAUUCGGGCCUGUACAACUCGACAUCCUCCUGAGAGCAUUCAACUCGACAUCGGCUCAAGCCCGGACAACUCAACAUCAACCUAAGCCCACUCGGCUUGACAUCAGCCCUGGCCCAGACAACUCAACAUCGGCCCUUGCUCGGACAACUGGAAAUCGACACCAGCCCGAAUGACUUAACAUCGACCCCGACUCAAAGGACUCAACAUCAGACUCGAUACGGACAACUAGACAUUAGCCCAGGCUCGCACGACUCAACAUCAACCCCAACCUGGACGACUCAUCAUCAACCUGAUCCACUAGGCUCGACAUAAACUCAGACGACUCGACAAUAGCUUGGGCCCGCUCGGAUCAACAUUGAUCCAGGCCCGGACGACUCGACAUUGGCCCAAGCUCAGAAGACUCAACACCAGUUCAGGCCCAGAAGAGUAAACAUUGGCCCAGGCCCAGACGACUCUACAUCGAUUCGGGCCCGUACGACUCGACAUCGGCCCAAGCCUAGACAACUGAACAUCAACCCAAGUCCACUCGACUUGACAUCGGCCCGGCCAUGUUCAACUCGACAUCAGUCAGGGCUCAAACAACUCGACAUCAACCCGGGCCUUUACGACUCGACAUUGGCCCAGGCUCGGACAAUUGGAAAUCGGUCUCGACCCAAAUGACUUGACAUCAACCCUGACUUGGAGGACUCAACAUUGGCUCCGACCCGGACGAUUAGACAUUAGCACAGGCCCGAACAACUCAACAUCGACCCGGGUCCGAACGACUUAACAUCGUCCGAGCCUGGACAACUCAACAACAGCCUGGCCCACUUGACAUCGAUUCGAGCCAACUCAUCACGACAUCAACCCGGACUUUGACGACUUUGCAUCAACACAAGCCCAGAAGACUUGACAUCGACUGAAACCCGCUCGACUCAACAUCGGCUCGGGACCGAACGACUCAACAACAGUCCAGGCUCGAACAAUUCGACAUCGGCCCGUACGACUCGACAUCAUCCUGGGACUAUUCGACUCAAUAUCGGCCCAGGCCUAGAGGACUCAACAAAGACCUGGGCCCAUUCAGCUUGACAUCGAACCGACCAUGUUCAACUCGACAUCAACCCGGGCCAAAACGACUUAACAUUAGCCUCAAUUCGGAUGAUUGGAAAUCGACCCCGACUCGGAGGACUCAUCAUCAACCCCAGCCCGGACAACUAGACAUUAGCCCAGGAUCAAACGACUUGACAUUCACCGGGUACGAAUGACUUCACAUCAACCCAGGCUCGCUCAACUCGACAUCGGACCAGGCCCGCACAACUCAACAUCAACCUGGCCUACUCGGCUCGACAUCGAUUCGAGCCCGCACGACUCGACAUCGGCCCGAUCAUAGACGACUCCACAUCGACCCGAGCCAAGAAGACUCGACAUCAGCCUGGGCCCACUCGUCCCAACAUCGGCCUGAACUCGCUUGGCUCAACAUCAGCCCGGGCCCAAACGACUCCACAUCGAACUGGACCCAAACGACAACAUCCAUCUAGAACCAGACGACUCAAAAUCGAUUCGGGCCCGAAUGACUCAAAAUCAGACUUGGCCCGAAUGACUUUACAUUGACCACAACUCGGAGGACUCAACAUCAACCCGGGUCCGAAUGACUUGACAUACUCGACUCGACAUCGGCUCAGGCCCGCACAUCAGAACAUCAAGCCCGUCUUGGACGACUCGAUAUCAGCCUGACCCACUCGACUCGACAUCAGCCCGAUCCUGGAUGACUCUGCAUCGACCCGAGCCCAAAAGACUUAACAUCUGCCUGGGCUUGCUUGGCCCGACAUCGACCUGAACCUGAUCAGCUCAACAUCGACCUGAGCCCACACGACUUGACAUCAGUUCGAGCCCGUAUGACUUGGCAUCAUCCCGGGACCAUUAAGCUCAACAUAGACGACUCAACAUCAACUCAGGCCCACUCGGCUUGACAUCGACCCAGGCCUGAACUACUUGACAUCGACCCAAGCCUGAAUGACUUGACACCAACCCGGGCUGGCUUGACUCGACAUUGGCGCGAGCCCGCACUACUCAACAUCAGCCUAGCCCACUAAGCUUGGCACCAAUUCAAGCCCGCUCAACUCGACAUCGACCCAGGCCAGGACGACUCCUUCACGACCCGAUCCCAAACGACUCGACAUCAGCCUGGGCCUGCUUGGCCCGACAUCAACCUGAACUCGCUAAGCUUGACACCAGUUCGAGCCCACUCGACUCAACAUUUGUUUGAACCCACUCGACUCAACAUCAACUUGACUUUGGCCUGGGCCAGCUCGACUCAACAUCGACCUUAGACUACUCGACUCGACAUGCGCUCAAGCCCGCUCAGCUUGACAAGGGCUCGAGCCCGCUCGGCUCGACAUUCACCCAAGCCCGCUCAACUUAUUAUCGACCUUCGCCCACUCAGCUCGACAUUAGGCAUAGCCUAGUCAUUUGGAUAUCGCCCAUGGCCAGCUCAAGUCAAUAUCAAACCCGAAUGACAUCGACUUGACUUUGGCGCGAGCAUGCUCAACUCGACAUGGACCUUGGAAUACUCAGCUCGACAUGGGCCUAGACCGGCUCAACCGGACAUUGGCAUGGGCCAACUCAGCUCAAUAUCGGCCUCGACCAACUUGGGUUGACUCAAUAUUAGCCACUCAACUCGACUUGGCCCAGGAUUGACUCAACUUAAAAUUGGCCCAUACCGACUCGAUUCGACUCGGACCCGGACGACUCAGCUCGACGUGGACUAUUACUAUUUAUUUUUCUAAUUAUGAUCAUUAUUUUAAAGAUAAAUAAACCAAAUUUUAUAUAAUUUGGUCUAAAAUUCAUUUAAACUUCAGACUAAACAGGUCCUACUAAAGUUUAUCUACUUUAAUUUAAAUGACUAUUUUAAAAUAUAAUCCGUUCUAUUAUGGAUUAUUCAAAUCGAUCCUUUGAGUUAGAUUUUUUUUUAACAAUUUUACUACUAGUUAAAUUAAUAAAUAAUAAUAGAAUCUAAAAAUAGCACUUUUUCGGACGGUACAAACCAGAGCUGACUCAAUGCUUAUCCACUACUUGCAAGUUUGGAAAAUGAUACUGAUGAUUACCCGUUUCCUCCAUAGAAUGGGAAUGGAAUAAGUUAGCUUUUCUUUCGAGAGGCCCUCGUAAACAUCUCUCUAAUGUUGUGUGAUUCUGUCUCCAAUUUUACUUUCUUCGCUUGUCUACCUUUCUUUGCAAUUGUACCCUUCUUAUCUUGCUGUUGUUCCUGAUAAUUAGUAGUACACAAAUUAAUUCAAAACGAAUAACAAAUCCAGACUCAUUCUUUUUCCGUCCCAACAAAUACCUGUAAUUCGUUACAUAAACCUGAGUUACUUCCUUCAACAUUUACUUCUACUUUUCCAAUAACCUCGAGUAUAUUUAACCUGCAAAACAAAAAUCUUCUUAAGGAAUAUAUCUUAAGAAUCCUAUUUCAACCCCCUCAAUGGUUUCUCUUCCAAGUUAUCACCACAAGGAAUAUACAGGUAAAAUCUUUAAAACAAGACAUUAUAAAAGGCUAUACUUAAGAUGGUUACACAAAAGCUCCAACCAAGGCUUUUCCUUGAAAUACUCUCCUAAUAUAGAGACUGCAUCAAUCACUGCAUCACACAAGAGCGUUAAUGCACAACAAAACAUUGAAACAAAAAGACAAGGUAUGCAUGAUUUAAAGUAUUAAGAAAAGCAUCAGAUUAUUAUCAAGGAUGGUAUUGUUGCUUCAGUUAUUUAAAUAAAAGAUUACAAUGAAGCAUCAACAUAGAUGUGUAUUUUGCUCAUGCAACAAUCCAGAAUGACAGAACUGUAUUCUUAAUUGGUAAUCCCUCAAAUAAGAGGGGAGAACAGUAACCAUUAGUAUGUUUUCAGAUAAUAAGAAUAUAGAUAGCCUAUUAACAAAAAGGAUAAAUUCAACUAUCCUAUUUCUAUCUCCCAGGUUUAACCAACAACACAACAUGCAAUUAUUCGUUUCAAUGCAUUAUAGAUUAUAGUAUAUCUUUCCUCAAAUAUUUUAGCCUUUACAUAAAAUAAAAAAUGUUAGUUUCUACAAGUUGUCAUUGUAUCCCUCAUCACUGUCGCCCAUGUGUACAGACACAAUACAAUCAGAGCCGUGAUAAAUCUCCAAAGUAUUGCCAUAUUAAAAUGCCUCCAUUUUCCAUAUAAAAUGCAUUUAUAUCUUUUUUUUCCGAAAGAUAAACAUUUUACGAAGUAUUUAACCUCAGCAGAAUAAAAUUAUCCAACAGAACACAAAAUGAUAAUAAACACUUUACAUGUGUCUUUCUCUGAUUGAACAGCAUAGUUUUUGUCCAAAUUGGGUAGUGUCUGUUUUAGCUGACAAACCUAAAAUAAGACAAACCAAAUUAACAAACUUCUGAUACAGGUAAAAGGUUUUCUAGCAUUUAAAUCAAAGAUGGUCAAACAUCAGCCAAAGAAAAGUAGAUGUUUGAAAGCAAACUAUAAGCAAUUUAACUAUUUCCUAUAUUGCUUAAUAGGUGGAUACAUGUAUCAGCAAUCAAAUAUGAAAUCGACAAGACAUGUUUCAGUGUUGGUUACAUUUUCGCAAAAACACAUCAUGAAGUUCGGGCAUUCAUAACCAAAUAUCAUACCUCCAUAAUAGUUAAUGGAGGAUUGGUUUUGCUGCGCAAAUACCAUAUCAAGCCUAUACUAGUUUUUUUUCCCUGAAAGAGGGAGAAGAUUUAACAUCAUAUAAACCAAAUGACAGUUAAAGAAAUAUAGACAAACCUUAUAGCACAUCCAACGUAGAACUUUUGAGUCAUCAAGUCUGAAGAAUUUUGAGGAUCCAACUUCUGCAUAAGCAUGACGUUACAAGACCAUGAGAAUUAAAAACAAGAAAAUGAUUAACAAUGAGUUCACCACACUUUUCUAUCAUCAACAUUAUAAAAAACAUAAAGUCAACAACAAACUUCUCAAUUUCUUUCCAAGAUGCUGCCCAAUAAUGACUUAGAUCAUAAGAAAACAUGGCAAACUUUCAAACUGAAGUUGUAAAUAGAAAGAGUACAAGAAUAUAGUCACCUUUGACUUCAGAAACAACUUGCAUACAGUUCUCCACAACAGACAUUAACUGCAUAUAUCCUGGAUAGCCAUCAAUAAAUAAUAUCUCAUCUAAUUGCCUGAACCUCCCAAGAUCAUCCCCUUUCUGCUUGCAUUUCAAAGAAACCAGUGACGUUCAGAGAUGUAGUUUUUCAGGGUCAAAAUACAAUGUAGACCUAAUUAAUCCAUUCACAAAACUAAAUGGUAGGAGUUCUGCGGACCACACAAACGAGGGAUUUCAUGGACUUUGUGUGUAGAGGUUUCUCUGAGGAUAUAAACCUAUAGUUAUUAGAUUGGGUGGGUUCUAUACUUAAGGUGUCAUGUGAGAAAUUAAAACUUUUGUUCUGUUUAAUAGUUGGCCAAGGAUACAUAAAUGGAAAAGACUUCAGAAAUAAGAAAUUUCUUCCAAUUGCCAUGGUUCAAAAGAAAUAUAAAACUUAUUACCUUCAUUCUAGCUUCCUCAAAUAUAGGCAACAUGAUGAAAACAGGAUCAAUUGGUGUGGAUAAAUACAACCGACCAUCUGUUGGGAAACAAAAACAAUAACGAUGAAAAAUUCUGCUUAAAAGUGCUGCUUAGUUUCUCCAUGAAUGAAAGACCUAGAGAGUAGAGACUACUGACAUGACAAGAGCAAACACAAUGCUUUCAAUCUGACAAAAGAACAAGAGAUUUUCAAAAAAAAAUUAAGUGUUGGUAAGAAGUACAAGAACAUGGCAUAGGCAGAGCAGGAACGGAAGUAUUAUUUUUUUAAGUAUAAGUAAAAAAGAUUUCCAGACAAGAGAUAAAUGAGAGAAAGAAAUGUACCUCACGCAAUAUAAACAUGAAUAACAAUGCAAAAUGCAUACUUUACAAGAUAAUCAAACAUCUCUACCUUCAGUUAUAUAAUCUCCCAAAAACCAAGAUCCAUACAAGUUCUUAAACCACUGAAGUUCUUGAAGCAUUCCAUUUGCAAACAGAUACUGUGUUGCAUUUCCUGUCAAAGAAGCGGAAAUAUGUAAAAACUGAAAGAAAACGCAAGAUCAAGAAGCCUGAAUAAAAGGCUAAUUCCUUGAGAAAGAUUGAUAGCAAAAUUGAGUGUGAUACGAUGUUAUUAACUGAAUAAACAAAUUUUAAUCAACACAUUAAGAAAUUGAGAUAGAAAAAUCAAAUAAAUAAUAUUUAUAUAAACAAGCAACAAAACACUAUGAGAAGUACAUAAAAUAAUGGACAUCCUUCAAAUUACCAGACUUGGGAUGGCGGAGCGAUAUCAUCUGUCCCAGACCAUUUCCACAGGUUCCAGGAUCUGCACUUGAGUAAUAAAUAAUUAAAUAAAAUGCAUUAACAACUGAUUGUAAAGUAAUGCAAAAAAAAAAUAUUAAGAAAAUAAAAAUAUCUUCAACGGCACAUAACAAUGAGAAAUUGGUCGCAAAAUAAGAAUAUAAAUCGAAAUAAAUGAUCGGAAGCUAAAUAUUACCAGUCAUCGGAAACCAAAAAACAGAAGCAUUUUUCUAUUAAAAUUAAUUUUGGUAUUGUUUUUCUGUUCGUAUAUUUUGUCUAUUAGAAGUGACUAUAACUUUAUAGAUGGAAAUAAAGAAGAACAGAAAUAUCAAGAACAGAUGAGAUGUAAAUUUACCAGGUGCGAUGAGAACCCGUGGUUCCUGAACCCCAUCACACCAACUCAUUGGUUUAGCAGAAGAGGAUUCAAAAGCCCUAACACCACCAGUCACCGAUCGUUCCCUUCGCCGGUAACGGUAACUGCAAUUCUAACGGAAUAAUGUUAAUGUCACAAGUGAAUUGCAAUGUAGAAAGAACAAGAACACAGUAAAACUUACAUAUUUAGAGUAAAGAGAGCUUUAACAGGGAAGGUAACGAGGGAGGAGUUAGAGUGGCGCUGAAUCGCCAAAUGAAGUGCUCCUGGGAAUCUGAAGCUCAAACAUAUUCGCGCCAUUAAAAUCACCCUUCUGCUUUUUUCCCUUCUCGGACACGGGCCCUAUCUACACCAAUCGGACCAGGCCCAAUGGGCUUAGUGUUGCUUCAACCGAGUCCAAUUUUUAUUUAUAUAUUUAAUAAAGUGAUACUUAUCAUUCUUAUUUUUAAAUAAGUUUUUUUUUAAUAUAUAAAACUGAUUUUAUUUUAUAAUUUAUAUUUUAUAUUAAAUUUGGCUACUCAUACUUUUUUUUCGUAAGAAAAAUGUGUGUGCUGAUAACUUAGCUAAUUUAGGAUUUAUUUAUAGAGAAUCAUUUUAUUGGUAUAAUUUAUUUUCAUCAAAUCUGUUCUUAAAAUUCUUUAUAUUCUUUAUUAAUAGGUAUAAUCUACAUAUCUAUCGUUUUUGUUAACAUAUUGGUUUUGGUCUAGUCUCUCCAUAUUUUUGUAUUUUUUUUUUAAUAAUACUUUUUUUUAUGUGAUGACAAAUUCAUAGUAAGCAUUUUAUAUAAAAAAUAAUAAUAAUGUGCUUAAGAAUGUCUAUUAUGAUUGAAGAUUAUGUUUUCUGAUCACAAGUCCAACACAGCGGAAUGGAAGAGAGAUCCAUAAUCUGUUAUUAGCAAGUUUUGUCGUAUCUUGUAUUGAAAUCACGACCCAUCUAAAUAAAACGUUUACAUCAUUGUUUCUAGUGAUGAUUAAUUUCAGUGUCACAAUGAAGUCAAAAAUAUAACACAUCGAAUUAAAUUAUAUAUAUAUACAUAUAUAAUUUAUUGGAUAAGUUUAUUUUUAAGUUAAAAUUAAUAAAAAAAAACAUAUGAACAAGAACCAAUAUAUUUUUUAAUUCAUUUUAUUCUUAUUUCUUUUAAUUUCUCUUUAUAAUUAACAUUUUCCGCAAGUAAUAUAUGAAUCAUGUUUAAAUAAGAUUAUAACUGAAUUCUUUGGGAGAUGUUUUGCGUUUACUAACCCUAUUUAUACUUUAAUUUUAUUAACUUAUCAUGCAAUAGAUGAUCUAUGUCAAGUACCAUACAAUCCAAGACACUACAUUACAUUACAUUAUCUACUCUCAAACUCUUUUAUUUAAUUAAAAAUAACAACAACAAGUUUACACGAUUAAACAUUGAAAUGAUAAUCAAACAUUUUCACAUGACAAAUCAUAAACAACAAAUAUAAAAUUUUUAAAAAAUAUAAAUGAUCAAAUGUGAGUCCUAUCAAUAGUUUAAUUUAAUAUAAUUGAAGUUUAUAUUUUCUAAAAUACAAUACAAUGAUUAAAUAUGAAAAAAAAAAUAUGAUUGAGAUUGUGAUGAGAGAGUAAGUGUAUUGAAAUCUAAGUAAACUUAGUCGAUAUAUAAUUAAUUGAAUAAUUGAAAAAAAUGGAAAAUUGUUUAGAAAAAAAAGGAUAAAAUGAAAAACAAUAAAGAUAACAUUAAAAAUAAGCUUUUUAAGUUAGAAACAAACUAAAUGAUUUAAAACAAAACGGGUAUAAGAACAAGGAUUAAAUAUACAUCCUCAUCCAUAUUUACUAUAUAUUUAAAAAAUUUGACAUUACUCAUAUCUUGUUAAAGCGGUUUUUUUUUAGAAUCAAGACAAAUUUAUAACCACAAAAACAAGUUUUUUUUUUUUUUAAUUUCUACUUUCAACUAAGAGUUCGGUUGAAAAAAAAAAUCAUGAAAUAUCCCUUUUUUUUCAUUAAGAUUUAUGUAAUAUGUUUAGAAAAAAAAGGUAUAUAUAUAUAUAUAUAAUUUUGAUAAUUAUUUAAUUUGUUAUUAGAAUGUUUCCAUCACGUCAACACAUGAUAAUUUACUUUUACUUGUGAAAUGGAUAGCCUUAACUCCGUAUAGGAUCAAUUAUUCCAUAUUUAAAGUAAUAUCAUCAUAUUUGAACCUUUGACUCCUUUAUCAUUUGCUUAAAAGAUUCAAGUCUUGCUAAUUUAUCAACAACUUUAAUAAAUGUUUACACUUUGAAUCGUCUUGUUGAAUGUUAAAAUUAUAAAUUCCAUAUAGAUUGAUAAUUUACAAUUAAUAACUUCAUCAAUUUGAUGAUUGCUGUAUCUUUCUUUAUUCACCUUGGUAAGUUAAGUUUAAUGUUUAUUUAUUGAAUUUACUUUUUAUAUUAUUAAUAAAAAUAAUGUUAUAUAAAAAGAAGUUAUAUGAGAUACCCUGAUCCACGUAUAACUUACUCGGUUUUCCAUUCUUUAAUCACUUAACCAAACCAUGUUACUAGUUUUUACUAUUUUUCUUACAUUUAUUAAAAUAUUGAAUACUUCUAAGAUAUCAAAUAUAUUUUUGUAGUGAAAGUGAAGUUCAAGAAUAAAAACUAACCAAUCUUGGUCGGUUUAAGAAUAUUUGCUUAUUAUUUUUUAUAAAAUAUUAACAAAUUUAUUUAUAGGUCCAAGAAAUAACGAGAUGAAAGAAAAUAGAGCUUCUUAUCUAAAAAUUUGUAAGGCCGUAUCUUAAAUUCUAACCUUUAUUUUACUGAUUCUCAUCUUUCUUUCAUAAAAAACUGUGUCGGUAGGAAAUGACACAUGAAUCAUGAUACUUUUCUCCUCCAUAAAAAAAAACAUCUAAUUAUGAUUGAAAAAACCAACGGUAAAGUAUGGAAAAAUUUGUGUCGGUCCAACCAAGACUCAUCAAACUAAAAAAUUAUUUUAGUCAUUUUUUAAUAAAUAAAAUAUACUAAAACAUAAUUAUAAAUUAAUUUGGUCUAAAAUUCAUUUAAACUUCAGAUUAAACAGGUCCUACUAAAAUUUAUCUACUUUAAUUUAAAUUACUAUUUUCAAAUAUAAUCCGUUCUAUUAUGGAUUAUUCAAAUCGAUCCUUUGAGUUAGAUUUUUUUUUACCAAUUUUACUACUAGUUAAAUUAAUAAAUAAUAAUAGAAUCUAAAAAUAGCACUUUUUCGGACGGUACAAACCAGAGCUCACUCAAGGCUUAUCCACUACUUGCAAGUUUGGAAAAUGAUACUGAUG
rnacentral:lncRNA from 1 species